CAGGAUGAACGCUGGCGGCGUGCCUAACACAUGCAAGUCGAACGAAGCAUACGGACUGGAGAUUCGUCGAAGGACUGUAUGACUUAGUGGCGGACGGGUGAGUAAUGUAUGAGCAACCUGCCUUUCAGAGGGGGACAACAGUUGGAAACGACUGCUAAUACCGCGUAACGUAUCGUGGGGGCAUCCUCGUGAUACCAAAGGAGCAAUCCGCUGAAAGAUGGGCUCAUAUCUGAUUAGCUUGUUGGCGGGGUAACGGCCCACCAAGGCGACGAUCAGUAGCCGGACUGAGAGAUUAAACGGCCACAUUGGGACUGAGAUACGGCCCAGACUCCUACGGGAGGCAGCAGGUGGGGAAUAUUGGGCAAUGGGCGAAAGCCUACGACCCAGCAACGCCGCGUGAAGGAAGAAGGUCUUCGGAUUGUAAACUUCUUUUAUGAGGGACGAAGGACGUGACGGUACCUCAUGAAUAAGCCACGGCUAACUACGUGCCAGCCGCGGC
rnacentral:rRNA from 1 species